ACUGUUCUGUGUAUUUGAAAAGUUUUUCUCUGUUCUGCUUAAAAACUUGGAGUGGUACAAAACAAGCAUAGCAUUUUGGCAUCCACAGCUCCUUCUCCUGGAAGUGCCACUUUGUGCAGGCAGGAAGCCCGGUGCCCCUUUGAAGAAUGUCUGCAGGGGAGAACAGAUAUUUUUAGAGGCACCCUCCAGCAAUGAGCAGUUCAUUGCCAGCUUAUCUCUGUGUUUAAACAAUAAUCAACCCCUUCCGCUCUCAGUUGGUGAUUCACAGUAAUUUUGUGUUAUACGGGCUCUAGACAAGAUGAAGGCAGCUGCAUACAUUUGAUCAGACUCUCACAUUAGCUGGAUUCUGACAGGCUGGCACUGUCCUCUUUUAGCAGUAUCCUUUGUGCAUACAAAUGUGCUGGCAAAGGAUUUCCUGAACCGCGUGGCUGAGUAUGACCAGCAUGGGAACGCUCCUACCACAGGGAGUGAAUCGGUGCCUUGCCUACAAGGUCCAGACAAUUUUGUUUCCUGUUUCGGGCACUGCACUGGAAACAUGAUACAUCCAGUUAAUCUUCAACGGGCGAUUUCAGACGUUAUAGGUCCACUUAUACCUUGUGAUGAAUUACUGCAGUGUUUGGCAAAUAUUAAAUAACAUUUUUUUGUUGACAUGGAAGUGAGACCUGCAGGCUGCAGCUGGUCCCAGUGUUCGGCACAGUUUGUGUCCUGCCGUCUGGUUCUUCCUCCCUCUGUUCACUUGCUAUUGAAACACAGCUGGUUUACGUCCAUCACAAUCAAUGGAAGGACAUUUCCGAGCUGGUAAUUGCUUAAAGGAUCCGGUGCUGAUGGCUUCUGGAGCUGCCAAUCCAGGGAGCAGCUUUUGGCUCCUGCUGUGUACAGUAUGUCUGCAGUUUGACCAUUUAUCUCACUUUACAUACUUGAAUUGAAAGAAAGAAUAAACAGUGUAAAUCUGUGUCAGACAACAGAUGUCCAUCACAUUACAGCAUGGUGGUCUAAUUCCAAAUAUCUGAAUGUUGCAUGGAUGCAUGAUAUUUAUUGUACAUCUAUUUCUGGAAAGCUUCCUUUGGCAUCCUACCAGUAAUUUCCAUUGUUUAAUUCUACUAUUACUGCAUUUUGGAAAGAAAAAUCAAACAAGAAUAUACUGAAAACAGAUGACUGAGGCCUGAUCCUGUUCUCAGAAAAGCUAUUGUAAAACCUGGAGGUGGAAGUUGAGCAAAAAGGGGCACUUACUGAUGCUUUCCCAGAGAGAGGAGCUUGAAGGUUGAGGGAACAGCACUGCCAUUGAAAGAGUCCACUGUGAAAGGAGUUAAUGCUCAAUCUGAAGUUACAUGGCAAGGUAAAAAUCAGAAAUGCGGUGUCUAAAUUUGCAUGUGCCUUUCUGUGCAAGAAGGUUAACAAUUGUAAAUAAAUAUCAGGUUUAUUCAUGUCCUACAACUGAUUCUAUAUGGGCAGGACAUCCCUGUACCUUUGCAGACCUCCACACCAUUUAAUUUAAUGGCAGUCCCAGGGAUGUCCAACAUGUAUUCAGCUAUGGUGUAGGAGCUGAAGUUAUGACAUCCAAGUAAUCUCUCAGACAGUAUAUUACAUUUUAAUUACUCUUUAAAGAUGGCUUGUUGUUUCUUUCAAGAGAAAUUAUGUGCGAUUGCACUCAUUAAUCUUUGUGUGUUCCGUAAUUUCAGCAACCCAUAACAUUUGAAAGCUAACUCUCAAAGUGUUGCCUUGUAAAUUAUUUCUGUGUUAACAUAUGGGACUUCAAACUAACAUCACUGAGAGAACUAACUGGAAACCCUGGAGAGUCCAAUACCAUAGUUUAUGACAGCCUGUGAGAAUGACUUAGACCUUCGUUAGCACUUGGAAUUGCUGCCUCACAAGUGCUCUCUUCCUUCUCUGCAAGGCUAAACUCUUAGCCUCUGCUGCUUUGGGAAUUCAGUGGCAGCCUGAGAAAGUGGACAAGAGCCUCUGCUUUUCUCAGAGACUAAAUCCUUCCAUCAGCUAGUGUGUUAUGGGCCACUGCUGUCCACUUCAGCAGUUUAUCGGUAAAUCUUUUUUGCUGCUGUGCAGGGAGAUGUUGGAGAUCUACCUGUGAGGCCCCAGCUAGGCAGUUCCCUGCAGGCAUGCUGCAGCUGAAAUCUUUACCUGCCUUCCCAGACUGAAUGCCAGGAAUGCUACCGUAAAGGGUGUUACUGCACAAAACUCCUUCUGUAAUCAAGGGAGGAAAGUAGACAGCCUCAACAGUAUGUUCGUCCUACCCCGGAUUUAAAUUGCCUUAUUGUGGAAGACUACACUGACGGCUUGAAACGAUGGUGCUCCAACAUCAGCACUUGCUGGAAUUUUGCCCAGUGGUGAAGAUGAACUGGAUGACAGUUUUCAGAAGAUUUGCACAGAAACUGUAUGAAGGAAAGGAAAGCUGCCCAGCCUAUGGCUGCUUCAUCACACUGCUAUGAACAUGGAAUAGAGGUGGCAGAAUUAAAUCCAUCAGAAUACCUGAGCUGCAGUAAGAACAAGCACUGCCCAGUGUCUAAUGACAUAAAGAAAUGCUGACAUAAAACAGUGAAACAUACCUUUAUCCAUCCCUCCUCUCAAGCCAACGACGGAUCUGAGCAAAGCUCAGUCAUACCUAGAGCUUUUCCAAAUCGGUAAUGUGCGUAAGAGCUGUCUGGCAGAUGUGGAAUAAAUCCAAAGCAAAUGCAGGCCGUGCAAGCUGACUGCAUAUGCAAUGCAAGGGGCAGAGCGUGGGGCUGCUGUCUGCUGCUGCUCUUUGAGGUGGUCAGAGACCAUCUCAGCAGAUGGGACCAAACUGUCUUGUAGCUGGUGAUCUCAGAUAUAAGGUUUUGACCUGGGCCAAAGCUACCAGACAUCACAAAGUCACAAACAAGUCUAUAAACAUAUCAAAAUAAACCCAGAGGGAGCCUCUCAGUAGAAAGGAGGGAGAGGAGGAGUCAUGUACAGAAAAAUCUAGGAAAAACCCUCUAUGUGCUAGAGUGUUUGCAGGCAAUGACAUGAAACAGAUCUCAGUUCUUCUAGGUGUUCUCAGGCUAAUGCAGUUCUUUUUUAACAAGGUUAUUUUUUGUGAGACUAUAAAUGUUAAAAUAUGAUCAAAGCAACAGUUUGUUCAUUAAUAAUAUGGCCUAGAACUGGGCAGUGAUUCCUAAUUGUGAAAUGGGUAGUACUCAACCUUGCUUUCUGAUUGGCUUUAGGGAGCUUGAAUGCAUGGCCUUAUUUCACUGCAAAGCCCUGGCAGACUUUGCACAUUAAAAUUCUAAACUGUCUAAGUAGGUGUGAAACUAAUUUUGUGUUUAUUUUUUAAAAACCACCUAUGAUCAUUUAGGACCAUCCACUUCACUUUGGGAGGCCCUUACCUAGCUGCAGGUGGGCCCUAGGAGACAAUAAAGCCCACCUCAGAGAGGAUAAUUUCUCGAAUAUCAUAACCUGAAUAUUUAUAGCUUCUGGAAUCGUUGUAGCUACUUAUCCAUGUUUCCAGCCACAACUUUUCUUAAUAAGAAGGGCUUUGAAAAACUUGCUAAAUCUGGACAUAAAAGGAAACAGAAGUUUUCCUAGUGCAGUGGAAUUUUUUAAAAGUCACAUAGUAACUUUAUUGAUGAAACAAGGAAGAAAGCACUUUUCCACCAGACUUUGCAGAGCUUAUUUACAAAACACAAGAUUUUUUCAUUAACGUGUAGGCAAGGCAAAGUCAUGACGAGGUUUCCUGCAAAGUGAGGACACUUAUGUGGCUAGUCAUUUCAUCAGUGGGUUAUCUUACUCUCUUGCUUGUGGUGUUUUAAUAUGUUUCUGAGAGACAAAUCUUGGGGAAAAAAAAAUCAAA